GACUCGGUCUGGGUGGUGGGUGGCGAAGGGUGAGUAUGUAUCGGAACGUGCCCGGUAGCGGGGGAUAACUACCCGAAAGCGUGGCUAUACCGCAACGCCCUACGGGGGAAAGCGGGGGACCUUCGGGCCUCACACUAUCGGAGCGGCCGAUAUCGGAUUAGCUAGUUGGUGGGGUAACGGCUCACCAAGGCGACGAUCCGUAGCUGGUUUGAGAGGACGACCAGCCACACUGGGACUGAGACACGGCCCAGACUCCUACGGGAGGCAGCAGUGGGGAAUUUUGGACAAUGGGGGAAACCCUGAUCCAGCCAUCCCGCGUGUGCGAUGAAGGCCUUCGGAUUGUAAAGCACUUUUGGCAGGAAAGAAACGGCGCCUGCUAAUACCUGGCGCUUAUGACGGUACCUGCAGAAUAAGCACCGGCUAACUACGUGCCAGCAGCCGCGGUAAUACGUACGGUGCAAGCGUUAAUCGGAAUUACUGGGCGUAAAGCGUGCGCAGGCGGUUCGGAAAGAUAGAUGUGAAAUCCCAGAGCUGAACUUUGGAACUGCAUUUUUAACUACCUGGGCUAGAGUGUGUCAGAGGGAGGUGGAAUUCCGCGUGUAGCAGUGAAAUGCGUACAUAUGCGGAGGAACACCGAUGGGCGAAGGCAGCCUCCUGGACUGACACUGACCUCAUGCACGAAAGCGUGGGAGCAAACAGGAUUACAUACCCUGGGUAGUCCACGCCCUAAACGAUAGUCAACUACCUCGUUGGGGGCCCUUCGGGCCUUUAAUAGCGCAGCUAACGCGUGAAGUUGACCGCGCGGGGGAGUACGGGUCGCAAGAUUAAAACUCACAGGAAUUGACAGGGACCCGCACAGCGGUGGAUGAUGUGGAUUAAUUCAUACACGCCAAACCUUACCUACCCUUGACAUGUCUGGAAUCCUAACAAAUUGGGUAGUGCUC
rnacentral:rRNA from 1 species